UACGAAGGGGGCUAGCGUUGCUCGGAAUCACUGGGCGUAAAGCGCACGUAGGCGGAUUGUUAAGUCGGGGGUGAAAUCCUGGAGCUCAACUCCAGAACUGCCUUCGAUACUGGCGAUCUUGAGUCCGGGAGAGGUGAGUGGAACUCCGAGUGUAGAGGUGAAAUUCGUAGAUAUUCGCAAGAACACCAGUGGCGAAGGCGGCUUACUGGUCCGGUUCUGACGCUGAGGCGCGAAAGCGUGGGGAGCAAACAGG
rnacentral:rRNA from 1 species